rfam:Synechococcus sp. RS9916 scf_1100013018508 genomic scaffold, whole genome shotgun sequence.
CAACGUUCACCCCGCCCAUGCGGGGCGCAGCUCGACUCAGGCCAUGGAACGGGGACCUGAG